AACGAACGCUGGCGGCAGGCCUCAAACAUGCAAGUCUAGGGGGUGUAGCAAUACAUCACCGGCGGACGGGUGCGUAACGCGUGGGAAUAUACCUAUCGAUUCGGAACAACUGAGGGAAACUUCAGCUAAUACCGAAUACGUCCUAACGGAGAAAGAUUUAUCGUCGAUAGAUUAGCCCGCGUUCGAUUAGCUAGUUGGUGGGGUAACGGCCCACCAAGGCGACGAUCGAUAGCUGUUCUGAGAGGAAGAUCAGCCACACUGGGACUGAGACACGGCCCAGACUCCUACGGGAGGCAGCAGUGGGGAAUAUUGGACAAUGGGCGAAAGCCUGAUCCAGCAAUGCCGCGUGAGUGAUGAAGGCCUUAGGGUUGUAAAGCUCUUUUACCCGGGAUGAUAAUGACAGUACCGGGAGAAUAAGCCCCGGCUAACUCCGUGCCAGCAGCCGCGGUAAU
rnacentral:rRNA from 1 species